rnacentral:sRNA from 1 species
UACGUAAAAGACGCAACCCGGCCGCCC